GACGAACCGUGCAAACGUUAUUCGGAAUCACUGGGCUUAAAGGGCGCGUAGGCGGGCCGCCAGGUCCGGGGUGAAAGCCUCCAGCUCAACUGGAGAAGUGCCUUGGAUACCGGCGGCCUCGAGGGAGGUAGGGGCGUGCGGAACUUCGGGUGGAGCGGUGAAAUGCGUAGAUAUCCGAAGGAACACCGGUGGCGAAAGCGGCGCGCUGGAUCUCUACUGACGCUGAGGCGCGAAAGCCAGGGGAGCAAACGGGG
rnacentral:rRNA from 1 species